ACGAUGACUUCAUGUGCUUGCACAGAAUGAUUAGUGGCGAACGGGUGAGUAACACGUGAGUAACCUGCCCUUGACUUCGGGAUAAGCCUGGGAAACCGGGUCUAAUACCGGAUACGACCUCCUGGCGCAUGCCAUGGGGGUGGAAAGCUUUAUGCGGUUUUGGAUGGACUCGCGGCCUAUCAGCUUGUUGGCGGGGUAAUGGCCCACCAAGGCGACGACGGGUAGCCGGCCUGAGAGGGUGACCGGCCACACUGGGACUGAGACACGGCCCAGACUCCUACGGGAGGCAGCAGUGGGGAAUAUUGCACAAUGGGCGAAAGCCUGAUGCAGCGACGCCGCGUGAGGGACGAAUGCCUUCGGGUUGUAAACCUCUUUCAGCAGGGAAGAAGCGAAAGUGACGGUACCUGCAGAAGAAGCGCCGGCUAACUACGUGCCAGCAGCCGCGGUAAUACGUAGGGCGCAAGCGUUAUCCGGAAUUAUUGGGCGUAAAGAGCUCGUAGGCGGUUUGUCGCGUCUGCUGUGAAAGCCCGGGGCUCAACCCCGGGUCUGCAGUGGGUACGGGCAGACUAGAGUGCAGUAGGGGAGACUGGAAUUCCUGGUGUAGCGGUGAAAUGCGCAGAUAUCAGAGGAACACCGAUGGCGAA
rnacentral:rRNA from 1 species